UACGUAGGGCGCAAGCGUUAUCCGGAAUUAUUGGGCGUAAAGAGCUCGUAGGCGGUUUGUCGCGUCUGCCGUGAAAGUCCGGGGCUCAACUCCGGAUCUGCGGUGGGUACGGGCAGACUAGAGUGAUGUAGGGGAGACUGGAAUUCCUGGUGUAGCGGUGAAAUGCGCAGAUAUCAGGAGGAACACCGGUGGCGAAGGCGGGUCUCUGGGCCGAUACUGACGCUGAACGGCGAAAGCUAGGGGAGCAAACGGG
rnacentral:rRNA from 1 species